AUGUUCUAGCCUCUCUCCAUGCGGAUUCCUCGGCACAAGUCCGGUUUGGUUCUUCCACGGCUGUAUGGCUAAGCACUCUUUCACGGUCUGGUCGGCAGCGAGAAAUCGGCUCCCAAAUCGCGAUCGCCUUUGUGCUGCUUGCCACGUGGAGACUCGGUAUUGAGUCAGUGGAUCAUCUGUUCUUUCACUACCCCUACACAUUUUCCAUUUGGCUUCAAUGUAUAUUUCGUCUAGCAGGAACGCAACUCACGGCUUCAUGGUGGCGUCCACAAGCCUGCGUCGGUCCCUACUCAGCCUGGUGCGCCCUAAACCCUCGGCCCUACAAGAUCUGGCUCCGCCGACUAUCAUGCUCUCUGUUAGUCCCCUUUCUACUUGGUUUCGUAUAUUUGAGAUCUUAAUGUAAUCAUCUAUCUUUAUCU